rnacentral:sRNA from 1 species
AUGCGCACGCAGUAGCACAGAAUUCCUCCAGGAGUAAUGGGUGCACCACAGACAGUAAUAGUGCAAGAUUCCUACGCUGCCCUGCCAAUGUUCUUCAGCACUGACGUGGAGGGACCACCCCUAGGGUCAAGAGAUUAAUUCAUUCUCCAUGGUUGAUUCAGUCAUUGGCAUCU